rnacentral:rRNA from 1 species
GGGGAUCGCAAGACCUCGCGCGAGUGGAGCGGCCGUAUACAGAUUAGCUAGUUGGUGAGGUAAAGGCUCACCAAGGCGACGAUCUGUAGCUGGUCUGAGAGGACGACCAGCCACACUGGGACUGAGACACGGCCCAGACUCCUACGGGAGGCAGCAGUGGGGAAUUUUGGACAAUGGGGGAAACCCUGAUCCAGCCAUGCCGCGUGCAGGAUCAAGGCCUUCGGGUUGUAAACUGCUUUUGUACGGAACGAAAAGGUCUUUUCUAAUAAAG